rnacentral:rRNA from 1 species
ACGCACGCUGGCGGCGUGCUUAACACCUGCAAGUCGAACGGGUCUGCCCUGUUUUUUGCGGGGUGGGUCAGUGGCGAACGGGUGAGUAACACGUGAGUAACCUGCCCCUCACUUCUGGAUAACCGCUUGAAAGGGUGGCUAAUACGGGGUGUUCUGGCUGUGCCGCAUGGUGUGGCUGGGAAAGAUUCACUUUUGUGGUUUUUUGGUGGGGGAUGGGCUCGCGGCCUAUCAGCUUGUUGGUGGGGUGAUGGCCUGCCAAGGCUUUGACGGGUAGCCGGCCUGGGAGGGUGGGCGGUCAGACUGGGACUGAGAUACGGCCCAGACUCCUGCGGGAGGCAGCAGUGGGGGGUAUUGAACAAUGGGCGGAAGCCUGAUGCAGCGACGUCGCGUGAGGGAUGGAGGCCUUCGGGUUGUGAACCUCUUUCGCCGGUGAAGAAGGUCCUGCUCUUUGUGGUGGGGUUGACGGUAGCCGGGUUAUGAAGCGCCGGCUAACUACGUG